GGAGGGGUGACCGAGUGGCCGAAGGUGCUCCCCUGCUAAGGGAGUGAGGGCAACCUCCGAGGGUUCAAAUCCCUCUCCCUCCG
rnacentral:tRNA from 1 species